rnacentral:rRNA from 1 species
GACGUAGGGCGCGAGCGUUGUCCGGAUUUAUUGGGCGUAAAGAGCUCGUAGGCGGCUUGUCGCGUCGUGUGUGAAAUCUCAGGGCUCAACUCUGACAUUGCAUACGAUACGGGCAGGCUUGAGUUCGGUAGGGGAGACUGGAAUUCCUGGUGUAGCGGUGAAAUGCGCAGAUAUCAGGAGGAACACCGGUGGCGAAGGCGGAUCUCUGGGCCUUACCUGACGCUCAGGCGCGAAAGCUAGGGGAGCGAACUGG